rnacentral:rRNA from 1 species
CUGCUGCCUUCCGUAGGAGUUUGGGCCGUGUCUCAGUCCCAAUGUGGCCGUCCGCCCUCUCAGGCCGGCUACUGAUCGUCGCUUUGGUAGGCCGUUACCCUGCCAACUGGCUAAUCAGACGCGGGUCCAUCGUAUACCACCUCGGUUUUUCACACUGUCCCAUGCGGAACCGUGCGCUUAUGCGGUAUUAGCACCUAUUUCUAAGUGUUAUCCCCCUGUAUACGGCAGGUUACCCACGCGUUACUCACCCGUCCGCCACUAAGUUAU